AAGAAAGCGUUUUAAUCAACAGUUAACGAUUUGUUUUGAAUUGUGAAUGGUUGGCAUCGUUUGUCGCGAAAAUUCUGGAAACAGAAACAGUGUAGCAGAGCUCAGUAUCGCAAGACGCAGAAAGUUCGAAGGACGUGAGGCGAUAUUACGCCUUGGCUGGCUCAUUUAUUAAUUCAUCGGGACUGUUUCGCUUUGUUAUUACGCAAGUUUGAGAAGUUAAAGUACCCGAAAAAUGACUGUUGAGGCAAUGGAAACAUCGGAGUGUAAACCGCAUGUGCCAGGGCCGAACGCGGUUGAUAUAUCACCAAAAAAAGACAAUGGAAUUCUUAAGGAAAUUAUUAAAGAAGGAACUGGUUCUGAAACACCAGCUCCUGGAAGUAAAGUUUUUGUGCACUAUAUUGGCACUUUAACUGAUGGAACUAAGUUCGAUUCAAGCAGGGACAGAGGAGAACCUUUUGACUUCCAGUUGGGGAAAGGAACUGUCAUACAAGCAUGGGACAUUGGUGUUGCAACUAUGAAGAAAGGUGAAGUAGCUGUUCUGACAUGCAAGUCUGAAUACGCCUAUGGAAAAUCAGGAAGCCCACCAAAAAUCCCACCAGAUGCAACACUUGUGUUUGAGAUUGAGGUUAUUGACUGGCAAGGAGAAGACAUAUCGCCAAAAAAGGAUGGCAGUAUAACGCGAUACCAAAUUAUUCAAGGUGAAGGCUAUAGUAGUCCAAAUGAUGGGGCAACAGUUGAAGUUAAUUUGGUUGGUAAACACAACGGGAAUAUUUUCGAAGAAAGAAGCGUUACUUUUCCACUUGGUGAAGGAAGUGAAUAUGGAAUCUGUGAAGGUGUAGAAAAAGCCCUGGAAAAAUUUAAAAAGGGAGAAAAGUCAAGAAUCAUCAUAAAACCAAAAUAUGCAUUUAAAAAGGAAGGCAAGCCUGACUUAAACAUACCAGGAAAUGCUGAAAUUGAGUAUGAAGUGGAACUAAAAAAUUUUGAAAAGGCAAAAGAAGCAUGGUCUCUAGACGCUGAUGAGAAAAUUGAACAAGCAAAAUUUUUCAAAGAGAAGGGAACGAAUUAUUUUAAAGCUGGCAAAUAUGCAUUGGCUGUUAAAAUGUAUAAAAAGAUAGUGAACUUCUUAGAGCAUGAGACAGGCUUUGAAGAAGAGAAGGAACCAGAACGAAAAUCACUUCUACUGGCUGGACACUUAAAUCUUGCCAUGUGUUACCUCAAGCUUGAGGAACACUUUGAAGCACGUGAACAGUGUAACAAAGCUCUCGAGGUACAACCAUCCAGUGAGAAGGGAUUAUUUCGCCGUGGGCAGGCAUACUUGGGAAUGGGUGAACCAGAAUUGGCAAAAACAGAUUUUGAAGCAGUUCUAAAACUGGAACCAGAAAACAAAGCUGCAGCAAAUAAUAUUGUUAUUUGUAAUGUAAAGAUAAAGGAGCAGAGGAGUCGAGAGAAGAAGAUCUAUGCCAACAUGUUUGAGAAGUUUGCUCAGAGAGAUAAAGAGGUUCCAAGUGACUUGCCAUAUGGCUGGUGGGAUGGGGGAAAAGUUAUAGUGGAAAAGGAUGAUGAACUCGCUCCGCCACCGCCUCCUAAGAAAUCGCUAACGCCUCUUAAGAAAGCGGUCGCCAAAGGUGGUAAUGAUUCAAAAGGUCCAUCAUCAGAUAUAAAAAAGGAUAAAUCUGAAGAAAUAGAUGCUAAAGAUUCUGUUUCUAAGGACACAUCCUCUCAAGCCUCAAAUAUCAAAGAAGAUCAUGGGCUAGAGCCAGACAUUAGUAGAGAGCCAGGUGUGAAAUGUUGACACCUGUUACAGUGUAUGUUGUGGCUGUUUGUCAUGUGUACAGCUGUUCUAUAAUUAUUCUUUCAAAAGAGGAAGAGUGGCGGAGGAACCAGCCAGACGUGAUGAAGACAUUGGGAGAAUGGGGUCAGGAUGAACGAGAGCGAGAAAUGACAGACUUUGAACGUGAAAAUCCAAAUAUUUUAAUGUUAAAUAAAACUGGUGAAUUCAAGAAUAUGUAAAUGCAUAAUUUAAUAUUACACAAAAUUUCUGAUCUCA